UACGUAGGAUCCGAGCGUUGUCCGGAUUUACUGGGUGUAAAGGGUGCGCAGGCGGACUGGUAAGUCAGAGGUGAAAUCUCGUCGCUUAACGACGAAACUGCCUUUGAUACUAUCAGUCUUGAGUCCGGUAGAGAUCUGUGGAACUCCGAGUGUAGCAGUGAAAUGUGUAGAUAUUCGGAAGACCACCAGUGGCGAAGGCAGCAGAUUGGGCCGGUACUGACGCUCAGGCACGAAAGCAUGGGGAUCAAACAGG
rnacentral:rRNA from 1 species